GUGUCAGCAGCCGCGGUAAUACAGAGGGUGCGAGCGUUGUUCGGAAUUAUUGGGCGUAAAGGGCGCGUAGGCGGCGCGGUAAGUCACCUGUGAAAUCUCCUGGCUCAACUGGGAGCUUGCAGGCGAAACUGCCGUGCUGGAGUGUGGGAGAGGUGCGUGGAAUUCCUGGUGUAGCGGUGAAAUGCGUAGAUAUCAGGAGGAACACCUGUGGCGAAAGCGGCGCACUGGACCACAACUGACGCUGAGGCGCGAAAGCUAGGGGAGCAAACAGGAUUAGAUACCCUGGUAGUCC
rnacentral:rRNA from 1 species